rnacentral:lncRNA from 1 species
GUCCUAGCCCUCCUGGAGCACUGCCAGGCACCUGGGGUACAUGAGCAUCAAAUGAGAAGGUUCUCGCCCUCCUGGAGCACUGGCAGGCACCUGGGGUAUAUGAGCAUCAAAUGAGAAGGUCCUAGCCCUCCUGGAGCACUGGCAGGCACCUGGGGUACAUGAGCAUCAAAUGAGAAGGUCCUAGCCCUCCUGGAGCACUGGCAGGCACCUGGGGUACAUGAGCAUCAAAUGAGAAG